rnacentral:pre_miRNA from 13 species
GCUCAAAAUGGUUUUGAUUGUUGCUCAGAAAGCCUUGUUUAUUGUAAUGGCUUUCUAGCAAUAAUCAUAAUCAGAAGU